GUUGAGGUGGCAGAGCCCGGCAAUUGCAAUAGGCCUAAGCCCUUUUAACAGAGGUUCAAGUCCUCUCCCCAACU
rnacentral:tRNA from 2 species